GACCAGGAAAGAGGUAGAAGAGAUUCACCUAACAGCCUCUAGGAUACCUGAACUCCUCAGUCUAGCUUCCUGAUGCCAGCAAUGGGACCACUGUGGUCAGGGAUCACUUUGGGGUGCACAGUGGCAGGGAAUAGAGAGAAGAUAAAAAGAAACUGUCAGAAGCCUUGUUGACCGAACAUCCAAAAACUAAGAGAAAAAGCAAACAAUAGAGGAACUGCAGUAGAAGUGAAUAGCGAUAUUUGCUUGAAAAAAACUCAAGAAAAACCAACGUAGUGGAGUAACAAGAACAAAAAAGAGAUCUGAGAAGGCACAGGAAGGAAAGAACAGCCGCCAUUGAGAUGGUGGCUCUGGUCAGUCACCCACUGAUGCCACACGCCUAAUUGUACAGGACAGUUAGCAGGCAAAGAGAAAAGGCCACGUGAGGAUGCUGUAUGAAGGUGGCCACCUGAAAGCCAGGAAGAGAACCCUCUUCAGAAACCAACCCCAAUGGUACCUUGAUCUUGGACUUCCAGCCUCAAGAACUGUGAGAAGAUAAAUUUCUGUUCAAGCCUCCUGGGCUGUAGUAUUUUGCUAUGGCAGCCGUAGCAGACUCCUACACUAUCCUUCCUUGACUUAUCUUCAGUUUUAAUUUCUAUUUUAGCAUCUCUGAAUUUUCUUCAAAGGGGAACCUGUUGUCGUAUUGCCAUAUCAAGGAAAACAUGGCAAGCAGAGAAACUGAUUGUAUCUUUUUUCAUUUCUGUGUUCCAAUAUUUCCAAAUGUGGGC